UCCGCCGGACUCGGAAUGGGGCGAGACUUUGUGAGGGGCCUCGGGGUGCCAAAAAUAAGCCGCGGGCAAAGCCGCGCCCAAAAAUAAGCGCCCGAAGGUCGCGGUGCCAAAACCCCCCAGUGGAAAAAUGGCCAAAAAACGGGUUGUGGACUAUAGCCUUGGUGGGGGGCGCGGGCGAAGUUCGUCCGCCGGACUCGGAAUGGGGCGAGACUUUGCGAGGGGCCUCGGGGUGACAAAAAUAAGCCGCGGGCAAAGCCGCUCCCAAAAAUAAGCGCCCGAAGGCCGUGGUGCCAAAACCCCCCAGCAGAAAAAAGGCCAAAAAACGGGUCGUGGGCUAUAGCCUUGGUGGGGGGCGCGGGCGAAGUUCGUCCGCCGGACUCAGAAUGGGGCGAGACUUUGCGAGGGGCCUCGGGGUGCCAAAAAUAAGCCGCGGGCAAAGCCGCGCCAAAAAAUAAGCGCCCGAAGGUCGUGGUGCCAAAACCCCCCAGCGGAAAAAUGGCCAAAAAACGGGUGGGCUAUAGCCUUGGUGGGGGGCGCGGGCGAAGUUCGUCCGCCGGACUCGGAAUGGGGCGAGACUUUGCGAGGGGCCUCGGGGUGCCAAAAAUAAGCUGCGGGCAAAGCCGCGCCCAAAAAUAAGCGCCCGAAGGUCGUGGUGCCAAAACACCCCAGCGGAAAAAUGGCCAAAAAACGGGUCGUGGGCUAUAGCCUUGGUGGGGGGCGCGGGCGAAUUUCGUCCGCCGGACUCGGAAUGGGGCGAGACUUUGCGAGGGGCCUCGGGGUGCCAAAAAUAAGCCGCGGGCAAGGCN
rnacentral:lncRNA from 1 species